GAUGAACGCUGGCGGCGUGCCUAAUACAUGCAAGUCGAGCGAACGGACGAGAAGCUUGCUUCUCUGAUGUUAGCGGCGGACGGGUAAGUAACACGUGGAUAACCUACCUAUAAGACUGGGAUAACUUCGGGAAACCGGAGCUAAUACCGGAUAAUAUUUUGAACCGCAUGGUUCAAGAGUGAAAGACGGUCUUGCUGUCACUUAUAGAUGGAUCCGCGCUGCAUUAGCUAGUUGGUAAGGUAACGGCUUACCAAGGCAACGAUGCAUAGCCGACCUGAGAGGGUGAUCGGCCACACUGGAACUGAGACACGGUCCAGACUCCUACGGGAGGCAGCAGUAGGGAAUCUUCCGCAAUGGGCGAAAGCCUGACGGAGCAACGCCGCGUGAGUGAUGAAGGUCUUCGGAUCGUAAAACUCUGUUAUUAGGGAAGAACAUAUGUGUAAGUAACUGUGCACAUCUUGACGGUACCUAAUCAGAAAGCCACGGCUAACUACGUG
rnacentral:rRNA from 1 species